rnacentral:lncRNA from 1 species
AUUGGCUGGCUCCGCCUGAGGGCUCCUGCCGGGCCGAGGCCCCCGCCCCCCUCCCCGGUGCAUCGCGGCGGCCUGAGGUGAGGGGGGGGCUCGGCCGGCGGCGGCGGGCAGGGGCGAGCGGGCCGCCCCCACCGCCACGGCCGAGGGAGCUGUGGCAGAGAAGUUGCAAGUCUCCUGCACCGUAUAGGCAAGACCUAAAUUGUGGUUCCAUAGGAAGAAAGGUGAAGAAUAGGAUUUUGUGUUCGGUUURGAGAGGGGUGAAAAUCCUGUGAAGGAUGUAAGGUGGUUUGUUUGUUUGUUUGAGGACGCUUCCUGCCCUGUCCGCAGGUGUAAUGGUCCUUCAUGUAUAUGUAUAGUGAUCCUGUAGCCUCAGAGGAAUGAAUGCCUGCUGGCAUGCCACCUUCAAGGGCUCUCAAUUCGGAUCAAUUCUCUUGCAAUCUCUGCUUGCCAUCAUCGGGCCAUUAGAGAAGUUUGUUACACAGAAGCUGUAACAAAAGCUUUCAUUGCUGCUUUUGGGAGCCAUUGUUAAUUGAUGGGGGGCAAACUUGGAACAAUGGGUAGAAAUUUCUAUGCUGACUACCUGUGGGAUCUGCUUCAGUGACUUUCCAAAGGGUAGUUUGAUUUUGAGCUCUUUAUAAUGACCAUUUUUCAUUAACUUUGCACUGCAUUUCCUACUGCAGGCCAUAAAUUGAAAAGAUAUGGCAGCUGCAAAAUCUUUCAUUUGAGAAGGGUCCUAUGGUAUUACAGAUCUUGAAACCUUUUGCUUCAGCCCCUGCCUAGAAAGUUAAAGGCAGAUGAUGUUGAAUAUUUUGUCAUAGUGUUUGACUCUGGAUCCUAAUGCUUUCUGAGAAGGAUUUGCUUACAUGAGCUGGGGGCAUCCCAGUAUGCAAUCUGGCUGAAAUACAGGCCUGUAUUCGUGAAAUUUUGGGCUAACUAUUUAGUCUGGACGAGGUCUAGUGCAGCAGAAAGGGAAGCCGAUAUCUGUAUUUCGCGUGAGGGUUCUUAAACUCUUCGUGGUCGUAGCGAGCACUGAACUUCUUAAUAACCUGCCUUAGGAAGACGGAGCGUAGGAAAGCAUGUCACUGUCUGUAUUUAGAUUCAGGCAUGACCGAGUAAAAGCAGCAUCUCUCCAGAAAUGCAUGCUUUCAAUAUUGAUGCUGCCUUCUAAAAUCACUUGAAAGGUGGAGGGGAAGAUGUGUGUUUUGACAGCACCGCAGCUUCACCUUCCUUCUUUUUUUAUUUUUUAUUUAUUUAUUUUUUAAAUAGUCUUUG